UCUGCCUGGUAGUGGGGGACAACGUUUCGAAAGGAACGCUAAUACCGCAUACGUCCUACGGGAGAAAGCAGGGACCUUCGGGCCUUGCGCUAUCAGAUGAGCCUAGGUCGGAUUAGCUAGUUGGUGAGGUAAUGGCUCACCAAGGCGACGAUCCGUAACUGGUCUGAGAGGAUGAUCAGUCACACUGGAACUGAGACACGGUCCAGACUCCUACGGGAGGCACAGAU
rnacentral:rRNA from 1 species